rnacentral:rRNA from 1 species
CACGUAGGGGGCGAGCGUUGUCCGGAUUUAUUGGGCGUAAAGCGCGCGUAGGCGGCCCAGUAAGUCCGUUGUAAAAGUCAAAGGCUCAACCUUUGAAAGCCGAUGGAUACUGCUGGGCUAGAGUCCGGAAGAGGCGACUGGAAUUCCUGGUGUAGCGGUGAAAUGCGCAGAUAUCAGGAAGAACACCAAUGGCGAAGGCAGCUCUCUGGGACGGUACUGACGCUGAGACGCGAAAGCGUGGGGAGCGAACAGG